rfam:Salmo salar isolate Sally breed double haploid chromosome ssa09, whole genome shotgun sequence.
CCACAAAAUAACUGUAAGUCUCUCUGGAUAAGAGCGUCUGCUAAAUGACUAAAA